GUUGUGCAUCAGACUUGACUGAGAGCCUCCUGCCUGCCUUCAGUCCUGUUUCAGGUCAGACAACUGCCCUGAACUGGCUUGAAUCUAAAUUUCUAAUAGUGCUUGUGUGCCAGCCUAAAUCAGAGCACAAAACGGAUUUUUCAAAAGAGCCCGACAGCUGUGAGCAUCCCUGGGAAAUGCUGUCGUCUUUGUCUGUGACAUUCAAUACAGCCCAUCCUGCAAGUGCACCUUCACUUUGAGCCACCCAUUAGCAGCACAGCAUGAUGCCACAGUGCACGCAUGCUAAAGGCCCCAAGUGUUUACAAAGGGAGUAAACGAACAUCUGCUAACACAGUGCAUCAGGUUUGUGUAGUGUUUGGUAGAGUAUGUCUGAUCAGCACAGCUGCCAAACUGAUUCCUGAAUAGAAAAAUAUGAAUGGGAAAGUAAACAAACAGAGGAAAGCAGAAUUCAUGUGUCACAUUUUAAGACUUAAUGCCUACAACUGUUUUGGUUUUUUAAGUGUGCUAUUAGUGUAUUUAUACAGCCAUUGCAUUAAGUUUAUAGUCUGGAUAUAGUUCCUCCUAUAGACUGGUUGAUGUCAUGCAUUGGUUUGUGGACUUCUCAAAUGAAGGGUGGAUGACUAAGAAAUCACUAUAUAUACUUUUUCACUAGAAGUGAGGCAAAUCGCAGGCCUGUGACCUGGUGACUCAAUUACAUUUUUGUAGAGGAUACAAAUUUUGGUGACUGUUAAGUUACAUACAGACGCUGUAUGAUGACUGUGACACAUAAAAUCAACGCAAACAGAGAACAUUCGCAGGGUGAUGAGGAAUAUGAAAAGAAUUGGGAUCUAUAAUAAAUGUUUGUUUUUUUAAAGCAUACAGAUGCUAAUAAUUGAUGUCUGAGUGAUGAUAUUCAACAAAGUUUUGUUCAGAUUGGCCCAUUCGUUAAGGAGGGUAUAAGUACAUAUAUAUACCCUGAUCAA